AUGGCAAGUCUUUUGCCUCGUUUCAAAAAAAUGCAACCAUUAUCCAUGCAGGACCAUCAAAUGGAACCAGCUCUCAUUGUAAGGUAUGAACAAAAUAUGUCAAAGCUUACUGAGUUUUACAGACAAAGGGCAAAGAAAAACUUUGCUUCUAAAGGAGACAAAAAUACUAAAAUUUUCCACCAUGCAUUGCUCAGAAGAAGAAAGAAGAAUACCCUUGUAUCCAUAAAAGAUGAGAAUGAGAAUAUUCAUUUUAACCCGCGGGCCAUUGCAAAUACAUUUGUAAAUUAUUUUCGGUAUAUAUUUGCUUCUCCUAAUGUGAAUGUAGGCAGGCCUUUUCUAGAUUCCAGCCCUCCAAUUGAUAGCCAAGACUACACCUGCAGUAUCCCGAACAAGGAGGAAAUUCUAAACACUUUAAAGGACAUGAAGCUAAAUGCCUCUCCUAGACCUGAUGGGUUCAAUGUUGAGUUCUACAUUGCCACUUGGAGCUGGAUUGGUGAUGAUGUCGCUGCUAUGGUGAAAAACUUCUACCAAACAGAAAAGGAAUACCAAACAGAGUCCAAAUGGAAUAAAACCUUCGCGGUGAUUUUUCUUGGACCAGAAGACACCCCGGAGACUUGGAGUUCAAGUCAGAAGAGCCACGAGGCGGCGACAAGGGGGUAG
rnacentral:rRNA from 1 species